rnacentral:rRNA from 1 species
GAUGAACGCUGGCGGCGUGCCUAAUACAUGCAAGUCGAGCGAACAGACGAGGAGCUUGCUCCUCUGACGUUAGCGGCGGACGGGUGAGUAACACGUGGAUAACCUACCUAUAAGACUGGGAUAACUUCGGGAAACCGGAGCUAAUACCGGAUAAUAUAUUGAACCGCAUGGUUCAAUAGUGAAAGACGGUUUUGCUGUCACUUAUAGAUGGAUCCGCGCCGCAUUAGCUAGUUGGUAAGGUAACGGCUUAACAAGGCGACGACGCGUAGCCGACCUGAAAGGGUGAUCGGCCACACUGGAACUGAGACACGGUCCAGACUCCUACGGGAGGCAGCAGUAGGGAAUCUUCCGCAAUGGACGAAAGCCUGACGGAGCAACGCCGCGUGAGUGAUGAAGGUCUUCGGAUCGUAAAACUCUGUUAUUAGGGAAGAACAAAUGUGUAAGUAACUAUGCACGUCUUGACGGUACCUAAUCAGAAAGCCACGGCUAACUACGUG